AAAAAAAAAGAAAAAACGUGUUUUUCUCGUUUCCGAAAGGCACGGCCGUGACUCUCGCUAAAGCACAACCGUGCUUCUCGUGAAAGAAAAACCGUGACUUUUAACGAAAGAAAAAAAAAACGCGUUUUUUCGUGCAAAAAAAAUUCGAAUUUUUUUUUUGUCGAAAAGCUAAGAAAGACCGGAGGAAAACCAAAAUAUCGAAAAAAAGCCGGGAAAAACCCGUUUAAAAAGCCGAAAAUGCGUGCGAAAAAAUAAAAAAAUAAAAUCUGAAGGGAGCGUCCAGAGCGCGACAUGUGGCGAAUGGCUGAGAGCGCACCAAGUGGCGUUGAUAGUUGCGAGGCUCCCGAAGGAGCGCUCGUUAACUAGUUGCUCUCUCAAAUCCCAGGUCUCCCACAGUUUUUGCAGUUUAGAAACAGAAAAAAAAAUCAAAAUGGGCCGGCACAGACGUGACGAGUGGGUGUGCGCCUGUUAAUAGAAUGAAUAGUAUCGGGCGCUAAAGGCACCGAAUAGGAUUUGGCCCAUUUGCCAGCACCGCAAAUCUGCAGAUGGCCUGAGCAUUUGGCCUUGGUAACCAUGAAGGUUUUCUCAAAAAAAAAAGUAGCCAUGAAGAGACGCUCAGAAAAAAAAAGGUAGUCAUGAAGAGCAUCGUCAACGGAUGAUGUAAAACAUGCCGUGAUCACCUUGUACAUCACAAGAGGGCGACGCAAAUAUUUUUACUCAGAGGAUAGGGUGUGAUGUAAAAUAGGGCAACAAGUGAUGCAACAAAUUUUACAUCACCAGGCGACCACACAGGAGACACGGCUGGAGCAAAAUUUACAUCACCAAGUGCUUCAACAUACUCCUCCAUAAACUAAUAUAAAUGCUCUUAUAUUAGUUUAUGGAGGGAGUAUGAUAUAAAAUAGGAUAUCCACAGUAAGACAAUGUGAUGUAUACAUCAUCUGUUGGAGUACGGGUUUUUAGUGAUGUAAAUUUUACAUGAAGCAUAGUUUGAUAAUGCAUUUUGCAUCAUCUAUUAUAGAUACUCUAAACUUAUACUCCCUCCGUUCGAAUACUUGUCAUCAAAAUGGAUAAAAAGAGAUGUAUCUAAAACUAAAAUAUAUCCAGGUACAUCUCAUUUUAUCUAUUUUGAUGACAAGUAUUUCCGGGCAGAGGGAAUAGGUGAUUCCAAGUACGGCUCGGAGUAAAGUCCAGCCGAGAGCUGAGGCGAAGCCAACCCUGGAAAUUUAGCAGUUUUCUAACUGCCGAAUCAAACUUCCUAUGAAAAUAGGUUCAAUUCAUAAUUUCCGGACAUGAUAAAUCAUGCCUUCGGCUCGCUCUAAUGUUUUUAGUCAUCACUAGAUGGUCUACGAACUUGAAUGUAAUUUUUGUUACUUCUGAUAUUCUUUGUACUGCCAUGACAUUUCAUGAAUAAAUCAAAAAAACUUCAAGCAAAAAAUAGUUGUCAGUGAAAAAAAAAGGUCAUCCCUGUCCCUGCGAUGAAGCAAACACACACUUAAAAUCAUGUCGAUCAGAUUCUUCGAGUAGAUAUAAAUUUCAGUGUUCCAAACUGUGAAGAUCACCUUCAGAAGCAAUGUCGCCUAAAAACAACCUUCCGAAGCUAGGAAGGUUUCAAAGACACUGCAGGUAAUCCUGGAAGAUUGCAAUCUCAGUUCAAAUGCUUUGUUGAGUCAAAGUAAGAAGAAAAACGGUAAAAAUAUCUCAUGAAUUGUUCGUGGGGUUGCAAUUAUAGGCAGCAACUGGCUAGGUAAGAAAGCCAUCCAACCAAAUCUUCUCUGUGUCUCAACACAGCAAAAUCAUCACAAGGCAAAAAGAACACGUCAGAUUGAAUGUAAUGCAUGGCGCAAAACGAGCCUUUAUUUACCAAGUUUAGCAUACAACAUAUUUUUAUUUAGAUAAAAUUCAACAAACCAAGCUAAAUUAGCUAUAGACCAACCGACUUCCAGGAUUAUUUGUACCCUCAUAUUCUACCCCAAAGAACAACACUAAGCAAUUGCUUUCUUUUUUUCGCUUUCAAAACUGCUCAUACGAAAGCCACCAUUGUUUAGUCUUUCCGGAGUUCUAG
rnacentral:lncRNA from 1 species